UACCUGGUUGAUCCUGCCAGUAGUCAUAUGCUUGUCUCAAAGAUUAAGCCAUGCAAGUCUAAGUACGAGCUCUCGUACAGUGAAACUGCGAAUGGCUCAUUAAAUCAGUUAUGGUUCAUUUGAUCGUACAGUUUACUUGGAUAACUGUGGUAAUUCUAGAGCUAAUACAUGCGAGAAGCGCCGACCUCGCGGGAGGCGUGCAUUUAUCAGACCAAAAACCGGCCGCGUCUUCGGGCGCGUUCGCCUUGGUGACUCUGGAUAACUUUGCGGAUCGCACGGUCUAGCACCGGCGACGGAUCAUUCAAGUGUCUGCCCUAUCAACUUUCGUCGGUACGGUAUUUGCCUACCGAGGUUCUUACGGGUGACGGGGAAUCAGGGUUCGAUUCCGGAGAGGGAGCCUGAGAAACGGCUACCACAUCCAAGGAAGGCAGCAGGCGCGCAAAUUACCCAUUCCCGACGCGGGGAGGUAGUGACGAAAAAUAACAAUGCAGGACUCGUUCGAGGCCCUGUAAUUGGAAUGAGUACACUUUAAAAGCUUUAACGAGUAUCCAUUGGAGGGCAAGUCUGGUGCCAGCAGCCGCGGUAAUUCCAGCUCCAAAAGUAUAUAUUUAAGUUGUUGCGGUUAAAAAGCUCGUAGUUGGAUUUUGGGCGCAGGGGGCCGGUCCGUCGCAAGGCGUGUACUGGACGUCCUGGCCUUCCCUCCGGUUCUCCGCCGGUGCUCUUGACUGAGUGUCGGCGGCGGCCGGAACGUUUACUUUGAAAAAAUUAGAGUGUUCAAAGCAGGCUCUCGAGCCUGGAUAAUGGUGCAUGGAAUAAUGGAAUAGGACCUCGGUUCUAUUUUGUUGGUUUUCGGAGCGCGAGGUAAUGAUUAAGAGGGACAGACGGGGGCAUUCGUACUGUGCCGUUAGAGGUGAAAUUCUUGGAUCGGCGCAAGACGAACGACUGCGAAAGCAUUUGCCAAGAAUGUUUUCUUUAAUCAAGAGCGAAAGUCAGAGGUUCGAAGACGAUCAGAUACCGUCCUAGUUCUGACUAUAAACGAUGCCAACUAGCGAUCGGGGGGC
rnacentral:ncRNA from 1 species